rnacentral:rRNA from 1 species
UUUCCGUAGGUGAACCUGCGGAAGGAUCAUUACCGAGUUGAUUCGGGC